rnacentral:rRNA from 1 species
UACAGAGGUGGCAAGCGUUGUUCGGAAUUACUGGGCGUAAAGCGCGCGUAGGCGGCUUUGUAAGUCGGAUGUGAAAGCCCUGGGCUUAACCUGGGAAUUGCAUUCGAUACUGCUUAGCUAGAGUAUGGUAGAGGGAAGUGGAAUUUCCGGUGUAGCGGUGAAAUGCGUAGAUAUCGGAAGGAACACCAGUGGCGAAGGCGACUUCCUGGGCCAAUACUGACGCUGAGGCGCGAAAGCGUGGGGAGCAAACAGG